rnacentral:rRNA from 1 species
UACGUAGGGUGCAAGCGUUGUCCGGAAUUAUUGGGCGUAAAGAGCUCGUAGGCGGUCUGUCGCGUCUGCUGUGAAAUCUCAAGGCUCAACCUUGAGCUUGCAGUGGGUACGGGGCAGACUAGAGUGUGGUAGGGGGAGACUGGAAUUCCUGGUGUAGCGGUGAAAUGCGCAGAUAUCAGGAGGAAUACCGAUGGCGAAGGCAGGUCUCUGGGCUGACACUGACGCUCAUGCACGAAAGCGUGGGGAGCAAACAGG